rnacentral:rRNA from 1 species
GACAGAGGUGCCGAGCGUUAGGCGGAAUCACUGGGCUUAAAGCGUGUGUAGGCGGACCGUUAAGUACCUUGUGAAAUCCCACGGCUCAACCGUGGAACGGCUGGGUAUACUGGCGGUCUUGAGCCACCUAGGGGCAGAUGGAACAGACGGUGGAGCGGUGAAAUGCGUAGAUAUCGUCUGGAACGCCAAUGGUGAAAACAGUCUGCUGGGGGUGUGCUGACGCUGAGACACGAAAGCCAGGGGAGCAAACGGG